GACGAACGCUGGCGGCGUGCUUAACACAUGCAAGUCGAACGGAAAGGCCCUGCUUUUGUGGGGUGCUCGAGUGGCGAACGGGUGAGUAACACGUGAGUAACGUGCCCUUGACUUUGGGAUAACUUCAGGAAACUGGGGCUAAUACCGGAUAGGAGCUCCUGCUGCAUGGUGGGGGUUGGAAAGUUUCGGCGGUUGGGGAUGGACUCGCGGCUUAUCAGCUUGUUGGUGGGGUAGUGGCUUACCAAGGCUUUGACGGGUAGCCGGCCUGAGAGGGUGACCGGCCACAUUGGGACUGAGAUACGGCCCAGACUCCUACGGGAGGCAGCAGUGGGGAAUAUUGCACAAUGGGCGGAAGCCUGAUGCAGCAACGCCGCGUGCGGGAUGACGGCCUUCGGGUUGUAAACCGCUUUCGCCUGUGACGAAGCGUGAGUGACGGUAAUGGGUAAAGAAGCACCGGCUAACUACGUG
rnacentral:rRNA from 1 species